AAUUCAAGGAAUUAAGAGUUUAUGGGGGAUACCUUGGCAUUCAGAAGCGAUGAAGGACGUGGUUACCGACGAAACGCUUCGGGGAGCUGGAAACAAGCUAUGAUCCGGAGAUCUCCGAAUGAGGAAACUCUAAUACUACUUAUUGAAUACAUAAAUAAGAAAGAGCGAACCUAGGGAACUGAAACAUCUUAGUACCUAGAGGAAAAGAAAGUAAAAACGAUUCCCUUAGUAGCGGCGAGCGAAAUGGGAACAGCCUAAACUUAAUUUUAAGGGUAGCGGGACAAUUAUUAAUGAUUAAAUGUGACAAUUAGACGAACUUAGAUGGAAUGCUAAACCAAAGAGAGUGAUAGUCUCGUAGUCGAAAAUUGAAACAAUCAAAUUGUAUCCCAAGUAGCAUGGAGCACGUGAAAUUCCGUGUGAAUCAGCGAGGACCACCUCGUAAGGCUAAAUAUUCCUGAAUGACCGAUAGUGAAAUAGUACCGUGAGGGAAAGGUGAAAAGAACCCCGGGAGGGGAGUGAAAAGAACAUGAAACCAUAAACUUACAACCAGUAGGAGGACGACUAAAACGUCUGACUGCGUGCCUGUUGAAGAAUGAGCCGGCGACUUAUAAGUAGUGGCAGGUUAAGGUAGAGAAUACCGGAGCCAUAGUGAAAGCGAGCCUGAAUAGGGCGUUUGUCACUGGUUAUAGACCCGAACCCGGAUGAUCUAACCAUGGCCAGGUUGAAGCUUAGGUAAUACUAAGUGGAGGACCGAACCGACUGAUGUUGAAAAAUCAGCGGAUGAGUUGUGGUUAGGGGUGAAAUGCCAAUCGAAUUCGGAGCUAGCUGGUUCUCCCCGAAAUGCGUUUAGGCGCAGCGAUGAAUGUUAUAGCUUAGGGGUAAAGCACUGUUACGUAUGCGGGCUGGUAAUUCGGUACCAAAUCGUUGCAAACUAAGAAUACUAAGUGUACAGUUCAUCAGUGAGACUGUGGGGGAUAAGCUCCAUUGUCAAGAGGGAAACAGCCCAGAGCACCAGUUAAGGCCCCUAAAUAAUUGCUAAGUGAUAAAGGAGGUGGGAGUGCAUAGACAAUCAGGAGGUUUGCUUAGAAGCAGCAAUCCUUUAAAGAGUGCGUAAUAGCUCACUGAUCGAGUAAACCUGCGCCGAAAAUGUACGGGACUAAGUAAUUUGCCGAAACUGUGCGAUAUAUAAAAUAUAUCGGUAGGGGAGCGUUCUGUUGUAGGUUGAAGUAUUAGCGGAAGCGGAUAUGGACGAAGCAGAAGUGAGAAUGUCGGCUUGAGUAACGAAAAUAUAGGUGAGAAUCCUAUACCCCGAAAACCCAAGGUUUCCUCCGGAAGGCUCGUCCGCGGAGGGUAAGUCAGGACCUAAGGCGAGGCUGAAAAGCGUAGUCGAUGGACAACGGGUUAAUAUUCCCGUACCAUUAUUUGUUGAUAUCGAGGGACGGAGAAGGCUAAGCUGGCCGGAUAUUGGUUACCGGUUUAAACGUUCGAGAUGAUGAGAAACGGCGAAAACGUUUUGAGUUGAGGCGUGAGUACGAGAUGCUACGGCAUUGAAGCAGUCUAUGUCAUACUUCCAAGAAAAGCUUGCACUGUCAUAAACAAAUAAUGCCUGUACCAUAACCGACACAGGUGGGUAGGUAGAGUAUACUAAGGGGCGCGAGAUAACUCUCUCUAAGGAACUCGGCAAAAUGACUCCGUAACUUCGGGAGAAGGAGUGCCUUAUUUAUAAGGUUGCAAUAACAAGAUCCAAGCAACUGUUUAUCAAAAACACAGGUCUCCGCUAAGUCGUAAGACGAUGUAUGGGGGCUGACGCCUGCCCAGUGCCAGAAGGUUAAAGAAGUUGGUUAGCAUUAGCGAAGCUGAUAACUGAAGCCCUGGUGAACGGCGGCCGUAACUAUAACGGUCCUAAGGUAGCGAAAUUCCUUGUCGGGUAAGUUCCGACCCGCACGAAAGGCGUAAUGAUUUGGAUACUGUCUCAGAGAGGGGCUCGGUGAAAUAGACUUGUCUGUGAAGAUGCGGACUACCUGCACCAGGACAGAAAGACCCUAUGAAGCUUUACUGUAACUUGAAAUUGAAAUUGGACUUUAUUUGCGCAGUAUAGGUGGGAGGCUUUGAAGGUAUUCUUGUGGGAAUACUGGAGCCAUCAGUGAGAUACCACUCUUGUAAUGUUAGAUUUCUAACUUUGAAUCAUUAUCUGGUCAAAGAACAGUUUCAGGCGGGCAGUUUGACUGGGGCGGUCGCCUCCUAAACGGUAACGGAGGCGCACAAAGGUUUCCUCUGAACGGGUAGAAAUCGUAUCUAGAGUGUAAAGGCAUAAGGAAGCUUGACUGUGAGACCUACAAGUCGAGCAGGGACGAAAGUCGGUCUUAGUGAUCUGACGGUGCUGAGUGGAAAGGCCGUCACUCAACGGAUAAAAGUUACUCUAGGGAUAACAGGCUGAUCUCCCCCAAGAGUUCACAUCGACGGGGAGGUUUGGCACCUCGAUGUCGGCUCAUCGCAUCCUGGGGCGGUAGUACGUCCCAAGGGUUGGGCUGUUCGCCCAUGAAAGCGGUACGCGAGCUGGGUUCAGAACGUCGUGAGACAGUUCGGUCCAUAUCCGGUGUAGGCGUUAGAAUAUUGAGAGGAGCCUUCUUUAGUACGAGAGGACCGAGAAGGACAUACCUAUGGUGUACCAGUUAUCGUGCCAACGGUAAACGCUGGGUAGCUAUGUAUGGAGUGGAUAACCGCUGAAAGCAUCUAAGUGGGAAGCCCACCUCAAGAUAAGUAUUCUCAUCACGUAAGUGAAUAAGGUCACGGUAAGACUAACCGUUUGAUAGGCAUUAAGUGUAAACCUAGUAAUAGGUGUGCUGAGAUGUACUAACAGACCGAAGACUUGAAUUU
rnacentral:rRNA from 1 species